rnacentral:lncRNA from 1 species
UAUAAUAUUAGGUGCGAUUUAUUCUAGGCUAAAUAGCAGAAAUUUUUUUUGUCAAUACUUGUUUUUUACUUUUUUUUUAUCAUUUAAAAAUCUACACUUUACUCUUUUAAAAAGUAAAAAAUAUUUACAGGAGAGUACGCUGUGACAAAAUAACCAAAUUACCUUCAUCUUUUUAGGGGUGGGCGUGGACGGAGGUGGGUGAGGGUGAGGGCAAGGGCGAGGGUGAGGCGGCGGAGGAGGCAGACGAGGGCGUGUAUGUGGGUAUAAACAGAGAGGCGACCAAGGGCGAGGCUGCGGAAGGCAAGAUGGUGCGGCGGAGGGCGAGACGGCACGGCCGAGGAUGAGGAAGGUGGAGGGUUUUAAGGAUAUUUUGGGUAUAAAAAAUAAUAUAUAAAUGAAAUCCUAACGGAACACCGACGAUGGGGGCCAAAGAAAAUAUUUUUUAUUUUUUAAGAGGCCAAAGUAUAGGUUUUGAAUAAUAUGGGGAAAAAUAAAAAAAGUGGGUGUUAACAUAAAAUUUUUCUAUAAUUUAGCUUUUAUUCUAUUUUAAAGUAUUUCACUUUUCACUAAAAUGAAAAAUAUAUCAUGGAGUAGACAUUAGGGCAAUUCCACGUGCGAAAAAAUCUUAUGCAUUAGGCAAAAAAAAAAAAAAAAAAAAAAAAAAAAAUAAAAAAAUAAAAUCAUACUUACUGCUUGGAGGCAUAAAAUGUGACGUCCCAAUAGUUCCACAUUAGUUAAUAUGGUAAAGUGUAAUCGGUUUAUAAGUGACAAACACACUAAUAAUAAUAACUCGGUUUAAGCAUUUUGGACCCAACGAGUUAUUAUUACUAAGGGUCGGAUUGUUAUAUAUAGUAUCAGAGCUUGAUAACCAGCUUGGUAAAUCUGGAUCUCAAACUUCCAACUGGUGAAUCACAUCGAAUAAUAUGG